GGGCAGCCCAUGUUCGGCAGAGAAACAAGACUGCGAGUGAGGAGGAUGGACCUUAAUAUAGUGUGUUAUACACACGCCCAUAGCACAAGAUGGCAGGGAAGCGAAGAAGCGUUCGGGAGACAAACGGUGGUGGAGGCAUGUCGAGACAAAGAGUAGAUGAAGGUUGAUGAAAUACAAGCGCUUGAGCCUUUGUUGGGGAAAUUAGACAUUGCGUGGAGCCAUGUCCUUUUUUUCUUAAGGUUGUAAAAGGUUUUCUUCUGGAGUCGAAUGCGUUGCUGCCUCCUCAAGACUACUUGACUCCAUACUGCUGAGGAGAGGGUCAAGUGGAGACAGACAUCAGAUGUUUCUUCAAGAUGGCAUCUACUUUAUCUGUUCUCUGGGACUGCUGAUUCUUAGGACAAGCCUGGCUGUGAUUUCAAUUGGAUGCUCUUUGAUCAGCUGCAACAGUAUUUGGACUUUUGAGUUGAUUUUCACAAACCCUAACUUUUUUAAAGUUGUGUAACCUUUGUGUAUAAUUCAAUGUUUUGAUAACCAAAUGCAGUGUUGAAUGUUUGAAACUUCUGUAAUGUGUAAAGUUGGAUGGCUCCAUUGCUUUAAAGGAUCUUGAAUAAAGGGUUUCACUGUC